GUCCAGCAUUUCCAGUUUGGAAUGGGGGAGUAUCAUCUGAUCUUGGAAGGAAAGCAGAGCCAGGCCUGGUUAGUCCUUGGACGGAAGACUGCCCGGGAAUACCAGUGCUGUAGGCU
rnacentral:rRNA from 1 species